AUGGUGGUCAAACUAUUAGAUAGUGGUUGGGAGGUGAUUUACUUUGUUGCUGAACACAAUCAUGCAUUGGUUGACAAACCAUCUUUGAUUAAGUACCCGCGAUCACAUCAAGGGAUCCCCCGAAAGAGAGGGCCUUCCUUACACAUCUCCACAAUUUGCAAUAUACCUACAGGUCGAAUGAUGCACAUCAUGUCGGAUUACUAUGGUAUAGAGCUGAUUGUCCCUUAUGGUACUAAGCAUAUUUCAAACCUAAAGUCGGAGUUGAACAAGGAUGCGACGAAGGAAGGUGAUAUGAUUGAGACAGUUGCCUACUUUAAAGAUCAGCAA
rnacentral:rRNA from 1 species